UACAGAGGGGGCGAGCGUUGUUCGGAAUUACUGGGCGUAAAGGGCGCGUAGGCGGCCUGCUAAGUCAUACGUGAAAUCCCUCGGCUCAACCGAGGAACUGCGUCUGAUACUGGUUGGCUUGAAUUCGGGAGAGGGAUGCGGAAUUCCAGGUGUAGCGGUGAAAUGCGUAGAUAUCUGGAAGAACACCGGUGGCGAAGGCGGCAUCCUGGACCGAGAUUGACGCUGAUGCGCGAAAGCCAGGGGAGCAAACGGG
rnacentral:rRNA from 1 species